GUGACUGUGGAUAAUUCUUCAACUAUUGUUCCUUCUUUGCAGAAAAUUAUCUCUGGCAAUGGAAAUUUAAGGUUAUAUAUAACCCGUGUUCGACAAUUGGUGUUUUAGCCAAAGCAAUGAAUGCUACAAGCAAUGGCAAGCUGUUGCCAUGCAACAAAUGCAAUUCCAUCAAGCACUGAUUAUACAACAAACUAUGAUUGCACAACAGGCUGCUUACCGAGCUGCAACCAUGAAAUCGGCCACAAAUUUGUCAGCUUCAAGCGCUAUCGACUAUUCCUUCUGAUAGCCUUGCGUUGGAUCAGGAUGUUGCUGAUUCCUCUUAUGUUAUUACUCCUCCGCCUAUUUUGGAAGGCCGUGUUAGUGUUUUUAACUGAAAAUUACUGUUGAAUUUGCAGAUCUAGAAGUACCUCUUUAUCGUAACAGAAAGACUUCUCACGUAUCCAGGGUUGCUUCAGAUCAUGAUAAGGUUGCUGUUUUUGUGGAUUGGAUGGUUGAUCUUUGCAAUAGAUUGAACAUCCAAAUUGAGACCCCUCCUUCCACUUCAGAGUUAACAGAAAGCCAACAAAACAUUGAGACCCCUCCCUCCACUUCAGAAUUAACGGAAAGCCAACAAAACAUUGAGGAUUUGGCUUUGUGGUGACUGCCAAGAAAUUAACUCUUGUGGACUGCAUAGUCGGGCAGCAGCUAGAACAUCUGUAGUGGAUUCUGAAAGAGUUACUUUUCAAAAAGAGUCUUUGAAGUUUCUAAAUGCAGCUGUCCUAAAUGGAAAUGAGAACGCAGAAGUGAUGUCCAGUCUUGGACUCGAAAAUGCAAUUCAAAGGAAUCUAGAUGUGGCUUAUCAGAAUAUAAUGUUCCGGCUUAGUGUCAUUUUGGCCAUGGUAAUGGUAACACCCUGCAUUAACAAAUCACUAAUAUGAAAUUACGCAAUCAUGGUAAUGGCAGGGAAGUUGUUUGAGUGUGUACUUCUUCUGAAUGCUUUUCCCUUUUCUCAACUCAAUGUAGCCUUUCAGUGACAUUCUUUGUUGUUUAGUAACAGUGAAAGUUUACUCUAAUGAGACUUAUUGUUAUCAGGCAGAGAAGUUUUUGUCUACAACCCUUGGGUCUGAAUCUGGUGUCAAUGCUAUCUUUACUAAUGGAAGGUGGAGAGGACUCGCAGGAUUCCCAGGUUCCUUGCUUACUUAGAAGGUUACUUGAGUCGCAACCACCUGAUUCUUCAACUGGUCUAUCUGAAGAAGAAGACAGAGCAUCACUAAAGCUAUCCUAAAGGCUUACUUAUAGCCUUCAAAAUAAAGAGCAUUUCAGAGGAAGUUCCUUCAGACUAAAGAUGUUGUUGCUGUUAAACCUCAACUUCUUCAAGUCCCUCCGCGGAUGCUUAUGGAUGAUGAACACGUAAAUGAAAACUCAAACUACUCACCAUCCCACUUUUGCAGUGUCUAUCAUGGACAUGGGGGCUUUAAUCCGUUUCGAAAUAAUUCGGGAGACAUGCGGAAGCAGGUUUGGUUUAAGCUUCCAAAUUGGUGGCUUUGUAUUCUGUUUUAAGGCUCCAAAUAGUUGAACUCAUUGUUAGAAUGCUCGACCAAAUUAGAGGCAACACUGUUUUGGAGAAACAUCAAUGUCAAGGCAAUUUAGAAUUUUUUUGAUUGGGUCUAUUAUUCUUGGAGAUAAUUAUGCAGUAUUGAUUUCAUUACGUGUACUGCGUAUUAUAUUUUUGCAGGA